rnacentral:rRNA from 1 species
GACGAACGCUGGCGGCGUGCUUAACACAUGCAGGUCGAACGGUAAGGCCCUUCGGGGUACACGAGUGGCGAACGGGUGAGUAACACGUGGGUGAUCUGCCCUGCACUUCGGGAUAAGCCUGGGAAACUGGGUCUAAUACCGGAUAGGACUCCUGGCUUCAUGGUUGGGGGUGGAAAGCUUUUGCGGUGUGGGAUGGGCCCGCGGCCUAUCAGCUUGUUGGUGGGGUAAUGGCCUACCAAGGCGACGACGGGUAGCCGGCCUGAGAGGGUGACCGGUCACACUGGGACUGAGAUACGGCCCAGACUCCUACGGGAGGCAGCAGUGGGGAAUAUUGCACAAUGGGCGCAAGCCUGAUGCAGCGACGCCGCGUGAGGGAUGACGGCCUUCGGGUUGUAAACCUCUUUCAGCUAUGACGAAGCGCAAGCGACGGUAGUAGCAGAAGAAGGACCGGCCAACUACGUGCCAGCCGCCGCUGUAA